rnacentral:rRNA from 1 species
ACAGUACGUGAAGCCGCUCAGAGGUAAACGGGUGGAGUUGAACUGCGAGCAUUGAGAAUUACCAUCAGUGAGUGUGGUUUGAACUUGGUCUUGAUGAUUGAACUCGAAAGUCUGUGUAGUGACAGGCCGCUAUCUUUUGGUAGUGGUGCGCGAUGCACUUAUCAAGUGUUGUGCGCUUUCGAUGCUUUGGAUCAACUUGCUGGUGCAUUUCUCAGUGUGUUCACCACGACCGGCGCUGCUGCCUGACUGCUAUGGUCAAACCGAUCACGUGUUUGCUCUCGUGGCUUGCUGUGGUUGGGAUGGCAGGUGACUCGUCAUCUGGAUGCCUGUAGUUUGCUACGGGUAUCGGAUCUCGGGUGUAACUAGCUGUCCGUAGUGGUUCUGUGCAGUGUGUCGGAGACGGCGGCUUGUGGUAUGUGUAUGCGUGCCAGUUGGUUUGGCCUAUCCGAGUCUGAUUGUCUUGUUGCCUGUUCUGCCAGGCCUAAUAAUGUCUCGGGUUUGUUCGGCUGACGGUUGCGUGUAUGAUACCUUGAAAGGGCCAAUAGUCUGUGGUGUGGCGGUAGACUAUCCACCCGACCCGUCUUGAAACACGGACCAAGGAGUCUAACAAACUCGAGACAUUAUUAGGCCUGGCAGAACAGGUACAAGACAAUCAGACUCGGAUAAGGCCAAAACAAAACUGGUACGCAUACACAUACAAAAAGACAGAAGUCUUCAGACACACUGAACCAGAACCACCUACGGACAGCUAGUUACAUCCCGAGAUCCAGAUAC